rnacentral:snRNA from 1 species
UUGUUGACAGUUUCAAAC